GCGUGACGCAACGUGCCGCAUCUGGGAGAUAAGCACUGGAAACGGUGUCUAAUAUCCCAUAACAACAGAUGUUACAUGACAUUUGUUUAAAAGCUACGGCGGAUGCGGAUCGGCUCGCGUGACAUUAGCUAGUCGGCGGGGUAACGGCCCACCGAGGCGACGAUGUCUAGGGGUUCUGAGAGGAAGGUCCCCCACACUGGAACUGAGACACGGUCCAGACUCCUACGGGAGGCAGCAGUGAGGAAUAUUGGUCGAUGGGCGGAAGCCUGAACCAGCCAUGCCGCGUGAAGGAAUAAGGCCCUAUGGGUCGUAAACUUCUUUUGUGGUGGAGCAAUAAGGGCUACGUGUAGUCCGAUGAGAGUACAUCACGAAUAAGCAUCGGCUAACUCCGUGCCAGCAGCCGCGGUAAUACGGAGGAUGCAAGCGUUAUCCGGAUUUAUUGGGUUUAAAGGGUGCGUAGGCUGUGCCGCAAGUCGGGGGUGAAAGCCCGGGGCCCAACCCCGGAACUGCCCUUGAUACUGCGGCGCUGGAGUUCGGAUGCCGUGGGAGGAAUGAGUAGUGUAGCGGUGAAAUGCAUAGAUAUUACUCAGAACACCGAUUGCGAAGGCAUCUCACGAAUCCGACACUGACGCUGAGGCACGAAAGCGUGGGGAUCAAACAGGAUUAGAUACCCUGGUAGUCCACGCAGUAAACGAUGAUAACUAACUGUCGGCGAUAAACAGUCGGUGGCCAAGCGAAAGCGAUAAGUUAUCCACCUGGGGAGUACGUUCGCAAGAAUGAAACUCAAAGGAAUUGACGGGGGCCCGCACAAGCGGAGGAACAUGUGGUUUAAUUCGAUGAUACGCGAGGAACCUUACCCGGGCUCGAACGGCUAGUGAACGACCCAGAGAUG
rnacentral:rRNA from 1 species